UGGGGAAUAUUGCACAAUGGGCGCAAGCCUGAUGCAGCCAUGCCGCGUGUGUGAAGAAGGCCUUCGGGUUGUAAAGCACUUUCAGCGGGGAGGAAGGCGAUAAGGUUAAUAACCUCAUCGAUUGACGUUACCCGCAGAAGAAGCACCGGCUAACUCCGUGCCAGCAGCCGCGGUAAUACGGAGGGUGCAAGCGUUAAUCGGAAUUACUGGGCGUAAAGCGCACGCAGGCGGUCUGUCAAGUCGGAUGUGAAAUCCCCGGGCUCAACCUGGGAACUGCAUUCGAAACUGGCAGGCUAGAGUCUUGUAGAGGGGGGUAGAAUUCCAGGUGUAGCGGUGAAAUGCGUAGAGAUCUGGAGGAAUACCGGUGGCGAAGGCAGCCCCCUGGACAAAGACUGACGCUCAGGUGCGAAAGCGUGGGGAGCAAACAGG
rnacentral:rRNA from 1 species